AUGCCUUGAGUGAGAGAGCACAUUUAUUCCUCUGUGCUUAAUCAUGAGAGCUUCUUGGUUUCCAUACCAAGAGUUGCAUACAACAGUCAAGGCAGUUAUGAUAUUUUUAAGAGAUGAAUAAUUAUAAGGUGGCGAGAGGAGGAGUCAGGAAGAGAGUGUUUGUUCCUGAAUUACAUUUGGAGUCAUCUAAAGAGCAGCACUGAUAGAUAUUAUUCAUAUAUGGAUGUCUAGAGACAGAUUGACAGCAGUGAGCCUGUGAAGAUGUUCUUGACAAGCAGGAGAAAAAGGAUAAUGAUGUGGAUAUGCCUGAACACCUGCUAUUUUUGCAACUCACCAUUUCCCAAAAGGAUGUUUUUAAAAAAAUAAUAAAAUGGCUCGUGUGGAAAAUGGUUUUGCUUUGUGAGAGGAGAGGACAGCAACAUCUGUUUGCACCUGGAAGACAUCAGAACGAAUGGGACACAGCCAGCCCAUGGCCACGGAGCAAUCGAUGUUGCUAUUUGAAGAGCAGAAGCUGGUUUAGCAGAUUUGCAUAAAGGGUGUACAGUCCCAGACCACAUUCAAGAAGCACAGAGGUUAAGAGGAGGCUGUUUGGCUAGAGUUGUCAAAUCUCAGUUCCAGAACCAGAAAAUGCUGUGGAAUGAUUCUGCUUGGUGAUAUUCAGCAACCAUUGUACCUAUCCAUUCAUGUGGUCCUUUCCAGACCUUGUCCCCAUCACUGUCAUGCACAAUCCUUUAUUUUCAAUUUAGAAAUCUGUAAUUUUCAAGACUAGCCUAAAGCAAUGUAGUGUAAGACAGGUUUUGUCCUUCAAGACUGUUUGGAAUUGUAAGAUGGUGUAGGUCAAAGUGGCCCAUUUUCUCUUUCAGGGCAGAGGGUAGAUUGCCAGGAAAAUGUGCUAAUGGUAUCAGACUUCCUGGAGAGCUCUGGCUGGGUGUUCUAUGGGUGUAGCAUGAAGUUCUAGCUCAUUGUAUCACCUGGAAAGCUGAUUGGCAUGGGAUUGGGACAACAGAAGACCCUUCAGAUCUGCAGACUGGGUGAAUGAUGCAUGAUGACAUCUGCUUCUGUUUUAUUUUUUCAGUAAUUAUUCAUAAGACUCCCAUCUCCGCAGCACAAUACCUGAAAGCCAGUGUCACUAAAUGUAAACUGAGCACUCAAAUCUUCAAAUCUUUCUGUCUCUUCAAUGCUGCCACCUAUUGCAUGUAACUAGGAAUUAUUUUUCUUUAGGACAACAGAAUCCAGCUACUCAGAGAAAUGCUGCCACCUAUGGCAUAUAACAAGGAAUUCUUUUUCUUUAGGACAACAGAAUCUGACUACUCACAGAAAUCACAAAGGUUUUGUCGUGCUUUUUAAUCAAUCAAUCAAUCAAUCAAUCAAUCAAUCAAUCAAUCAAACUUACAUCUCUGGGUGGUUUAAUGAAAUAUGUGGGCCCUGAUUUUGACAUUUUACCAUGAAUCUCAUCUGCAUGUUGACUUUUUAAUCAUUUUUUUUAUUGUAAAGCAUUAUGUGAUUCACAGCUUGGCUAUCCACCCAGUAUCUCCUCCUCCUGUUCCCAUUCAUUCCUGCCCCUUCCCUGGAGGUUGCUGUAUCUAUGCCCACUAGUCACCACUAAUCAGAGUCAGCACAAGUCAGUUUGAAGGAUCCUCCAGGCUUCACCACUUUGGGCCAGACUGGAUCAGUUGCAAAGUGGAAAAGAUGCCAAUUUAAAAGGGACAGAAACGAGAGUCAAAAUCUGGACUGUAGCUCAGUGGUAGAGCAUCUGCUUUGCAAGUAGAAGGUCCCAAAUUCAAUCCCUGGCAUCUCCAGGUUGGGCUAGAAAAGAUCCACUUGAAACCCUGAGAAGCUGCUGCUGCCAAUCAGUGUAGACACUAGGUGACUUACAUGACCAUACACUGCAGACGAGAUGUCCUACUUGGUUUUGGGAACUGGGCAUGCUCCCAUUUUGCAACAGUGUAUUAGGCAAAAACAAGGUAGGAGGCCAGAAACUUCACUGACUGUCAAGCCCCAGCGGAAUAGAAUUAUUUACCCACCCACCUUGUUCAAAUGCUGGGGACAGAAUCUGAAUUGGAUGUACUCAUCUUAGCCAGCUGGGGUUUGACAAACUCCCUGCCUCUGACUUUGUUUUUAUCUAACACACAAUCACACAAGGGUUGCACAUCCUGCUCCCCAAAUUGGGGUAGGACUCAUCUCCUACCCAGUUUAUUGUUUUGAUUUUCCCAUAGCAUUGUCUCAGAUUUUGCACUAGACAUGCUUGUCUCUGUGUUUGGUCUCUAUGUACUGGUUUGCAGGUGGAGUCAUGGAUUGUUUGUCAACUUCUUACUUACAAUCUUGAAUUUCAAACUGAGAGGUUCCCUCUCUUUCCAUAAGAGACCAUUUUAUCAUUCUCUUAGCCUAUUUUGAAUUAGUAAUAAAUACCAAACUCUUGUUUCUCGGUUAAAGUUGCUUCCUGUAAUUUCUCUGCAACAUUUAUGGUUGUGUGAACUUCCCUGACUCUGAUCUAGAUGGCCCUACUCAUAGAAAUGUAGCUUCCCAUGUAACUUGGGUAUGUCUGUUUCUCUGUGUGUGCAACAGCCCUAUUUUCUCACCAAGAAUUAUGGACUGAGUAUUCCCACUCUUAUACUUACAUUGCUAAAGACUGUUCUCCACUAUUCAGUUUGUCUUCCUCUAGUGCCCAGUUAGGCCUCUCAGAAGCCUGUUUUGCUUUCGUAUUUCUCAGUCAGAUGUGAGCAAACAAAAUGGAGGCUGAAGCAGCAAGGAGCCAAUACAGAAUGAAGGGACAUAUCCAGGACAUGAUGCAGCCCCGGAUGAUGCUAUUUAUAGGAGAAGGGCUCACUUGGGAGAUUUGCAUAGAGGCGGUUCAGUCCAGUUCCACAUUAAGGAAGCCAAGAGGAUAAAAGGAAGUGCACUUGUUUGGCAUUUCACAAUGACAAUCUCCUACUCGAAGCUCACUUUGUAAUCAUGUGGCCUAGAUCUGGCAGAGCUAUGAAGGAAGGGACCAGUGUUUCAUUUAACUAGCUUUGCAAAUUGCACCACAUGCCCAUCAGUGUUGUCUAGGUCCCAUUCUUUCCGGUUCAGAGACUGUAGCCGUAAGUCUAGACUGCAGCAUUAUGGUGUGAGAUAAGUUUGCUAUUGCAGAGUGUGCAGAAUCUACAGUUGCACUGGCCCUUGAGUGGCAAUGAGUGGCAUCCCUAAGGAAGCUGUUCUUGGACUACAACUCCCAUUACACCCUGCCAAAAUAAAGUGUGGCUGCAGGGGCCUAACUAUAAUAGGGCAAGGGGAGACAGUUGUCUGGGGGCCCACUGCCUUGGGGGGCCCCCCAGAGGCAAGUCACAUGACUGACUCCCCCAGCUGCGCACCCACCCAGGCUUCCUUCAGUUGUAUUCAUCCUCCAAAAUUGAUGUGUGUUAAGACCUGGAGCUACCAGAACAGCAUGUCUUUUUCUAGUACAAUUAAAUGACUUGCAUCGUCCAAAAUGUACAAAACCUUUUAGCCUCAUUUAAGAUUUCUUUACUUCAUGAGCUGAGCUUCAGUGGUGGGGGGCAUUUUAACAUUUUGUCUCUGGGCCCACUCCAACCGUGCCUACGCCCCUGUGUGGCUGGGCAUGAUAGUUCUGUUUCACAACAGCCAUUCUACAUCCCUGCCCUAGUCUGUCGCUUACCCAGCAGAGUCAUUAAUUCUGCCUUGCCCUUUGGACAAAUCACUAAUUUUUGACUUGCCAAAAAAACCACACAGCUGUUUUACCAGCACUUGUAGAAAAUGCAGGGAGGAAGCAAUGAAUCUUGUGCAACCACAUUCACCACUGAUGAACCACAUUCACCACCUCCUUCCAGCUGCAGAAUACUGGGUUUUGUGUUUGUGCAUGCCUUGACAUCAGCUAAGAGAGGUUUUUGUAUGAACUGCCUGUUGCUUGGUCUUACUGUGCUUCUUGCACAGUAAUACGUGGCAGCAUCUGCAGCUGUCAGAGAGCCCAGCUGCAAGGAGAAGGAGUUUGCGGUGGUGUCUGCAGAGAUGGUGAUUCGUCCCUGGAAGGAUGAGGCAUAGCUUGUGCGCCAGCUGGAACCAGUCCAGUCGACCCUUCCCAUCCAUUCCAGUCCUUUUCCUGGAGGCUGCCGGAUCCAAUUCAAAUAGGGACCAGAAACAGAGAAUCCUGUGACAGUACAGGUCAGGCUGAGGGACUUUCCUGGAGCCAUCAUCCCAGAUCCAGACUGGACAAGCUGGAUUGCAGAAAGAGCCCCUAGGAAGCAAGAGAGUUAGGAUCAGAAGAACGGAAGGACUUCAUUAGAGCCAGAGCCCAGCCUGCACCCUUGGACACUCACCUGGCAUGAGGGCCAUCACUGAGAGAAUCCAAAUGAAGGCGCUCAUGUUGCCGGAAACAUGAAGGGGUGGACUGAACCUCACACUGGGCAAGGCUGGCUGCAGCUGCUAUUUGAGUGGGAGUUUCAUUUGCAUACAGAAGAUGCCCCUGACAUGCAAGGUCCUUUUAAAGAAGAGGACAGGGGCAACUCUUUGCAUCCCACUUCAGAAACAAUGGCAGCAGAAGAUACAGGGACAAUGUGGGUGAUCUUUAGAAUCUCUUAUUGCACAGGCACAGUUAAUAUAAAAAUACCUUGUCUUCGAAAAUGGUCUUGUGGCACCUUAAGGGUUAACAGCGUUUUUGUGUGAACAGAAGAACACAGCUUCCCUUCUAGAAGCUUUAAUAAGUUGGCAUUUAGGAAUAUCAUUUUAUUCCAAUGACUCCAGAAAUGUACAAAAUCUUCAAAGUGUUACAAAAUAUUAUAGGAUUAUUGGAACUGGAGUUGUACUGAGUCAGAUCUUCCAUCGACCUCUGCCACAUUGACCACGCUGACUGGAAGCUAGUCUCCAAGGAUUCUUUCCAAGUGUGAGGAGUUUGCCCAUUGUGAAGUUCCUUCUGUCAGUUCACCAAGGACACAGGAUUCUUUCUCAGCCCUCCUUGGAAAGUCUAUCUGGGACUGAAUCGGGGGCAUUCAUUAUACAUACAAAGCAAGUGUUCUACCACUGAGGCACAUCCUCCCCAAUCCCUAUCUGCUGCCCUCCCCUUUCAAAGGUUAAAAUCUUCAUUUCAUUGGAAGAUGCAACAACAGGAGGUACAGGAGGGGAUCUGAGGCAAGGGUAAUUGGAGCAGAAUCCAUCCAGUUCCACUUCCAUAGACAUUGUUGUCAGUAGCAGAUGAGGACUAAGAGGUUAAGUCAAGGGCUUCAUAGAAGAGGUGAGAUUUGAGGAGGAUGAAACACAUCCUUGUUUCAGAUUUAAACUGAGAGGCACAAUUCAGCUUUACACUGGAUAAGCUUUAUUUUUGGAGAGAGAGGCCAGGAAUUUUCCUCCAUCUAAGGAGCCCAGACCAAUGUACAUGGUUAUGUUGAUCCUCACUACAUUCCCUGUUCCGAGGGAUUUGAACUCGGGUCUCCCUGGUCCUAGUCCAACUCUCUAGCCACUACACCACACUGGCUCUCUUUUCAGAAUGACCUUUUAUUUGCUCAACUACAUCCUGUAUAUUUAUGUAAAUCAACCACAUAUUGCAAAGAUACAAUCAGUCUGCAAUGACUCUUUGUGAAGGAACGAGGUACAAUCCCCUUCUGCCAUGGAAAAAAUGUUUUGUAUUAUAGCUGGUCUUUGUAUAAGGUCAAAAGUUCAGUUGUGUUUCACUGUUGGUUUUGGAAAAUCUGUCAGCUGGACUUUGGAGGGAAAAAUGAUUUUCAGUUAUGGAGGGAAUUUGUUGAGUUCUGAUUAGCUGAACUGAAUAAUUGGUGGGAUGGAAGAAGUGUAUAUAUUCGGGAAGUUUGAGAGGGAUUCUGUCAGUCUGAAGCUGUCUGCUGAAAGGAGUUCAGUGGAAUUGAAGAGCUGCAGUUGAGUUUUAGAGCUGAGUUCAGUUCAAGAGCUACUGGAGUGGAGCUGCUGGAGUCCAGUUGAGUCAGGUUGAGAGAGUCUGCGGAAGAAAAGCUGGCAAAAGUUUGCUGGAAGGCUGGGAGGGGUGGGGGGGAAACUGGAGAAAGAAACCUGGGAGAGAACUGAGCAGAGAACUGGUGGGUGCUGGAGAUUGCUGGAGUUGCCCAGACAAUAAGCCAGGACCAAAAGCUGAAAUCAAUGAAAGUGGGAAAGGAGCCAGACUGGAUCGAGCCCCAGACCUGUGCUAUCCCCUGGACAAAGAAGUCUUCCCAUCCAGCCAGAGGAAGAAAAGAGAGACUUGGAAGGAAAACCUUGAUAGAACUGAGCAGUGUUAAAAAGCCUACAGCUUGUUAGCUACCCUGACUUGCUCUGUGAGUAUUUUGUGAUUUUCUGUAAAGUAAUGUUUUAAUUUGAACUUUUGUUUUUAGUAAAAACAUUCUUGUUAAUAUA